UUAUAAAGAUCUUUGUUGUGAAAUAACUGAUGGUGAGUUAUGUAUGACACAAAAAGCAAAAAUAAUUCAAAUAGCAAUCUAGAAAAUGGCUAAUAAAAUACACGACUUGGUUGAAUGAACUAGCUCUAAAGGUGGGUGUUCUGUAGAGCGAUGCGAUUCUGACAGUAAUAAGGACUAAAACCUACCCAAGUAGCAUUCUUAAUUUUAUCAUAACAAGAUAAAGUCAUUCACAAGUAUUUAUCGCCAGAGAUAGAAAAAUUUCAUUGGAGAGCACGAGCAUUUUUUUUUAACCCUCCUAGUACCGCUUUAAAACAAGGUUUUAAAAGUAAACCGCAGAAGCAGAUGAACUUAUUUAAAUCAAGCCAACAAACACCGAUAAGUUUAUGAUAGAUCCUAAUAAAUAAUGUGGAUGUUCUUAUUUCAAGUAUCAUUAACGUAAACAAAAACAAAAAAAAAUAAAUACUUACCUCUAAACAGAGCAAAUAAAAAACAAUCAACUAGGAAAUUAUACCUUAUUAUUUCAGAGCUGCCAUCAGAAUAAACUUAGUACUUUUGGAAU